CCUGAAAGAGCUCUAGAUCAGAGUCUCAAACUGCCAUUAGUUCUUUCUGAGACCUGGAGUCAGGUCAAUUAAGCCCCCAACCCAAAUUUUCCGUCUGUCACAUGGGAAUGAUAAUAAUAGAAGCUCUUGUCUCAGCGUUGUGUGAAAAAGAGGAAGCUCUGGAGCAGUGCAAGGUGCUUCUGUUCUCCUGCUGGAAAGAUCCUGGGAUCCGAGCCUACUACUCAUAACAUAUCUCAAACAGAUUUUUAUUUUUUAAAAAAGAAGAAAGAAAGAAGGAAAGACAAGAGGGAAAGAAAGCAAGCUUUUAUUGAAUAUCAAUAUGUCCAUCCACGUUGUCGCAAACACUUGGAUUUUCUUUCUUGGCCCUACACAGCAACUCACUGCGACGACGUCAUGGAAGAACAGCCUCCUUGGGCAUCCAGGAUACAGUGGAGAUGAAAUGGACUCAGAGGAGUGGAUCAAGCUGACUCUGGGACCACACUGCCUUUGGCCUUCCUAUUGUAUGAAUCAAUAAAUUUCCUAAUCAUUUAAGCCA